rnacentral:rRNA from 1 species
AAACCAGCACCUCAAGUGGUCAGGAGGAUUAUUGGGCCUAAAGCAUCCGUAGCCUGUUCUAUAAGUUUCCGGUUAAAUCCACUAGCUCAACUAGUGGGCUGCCGAAAAUACUGUAGAACUAGGGAGUGGGAGAGGUAGACGGUAUUCGGUAGGAAGGGGUAAAAUCCUUUGAUCUAUUGAGGACCACCUGUGGCGAAGGCGGUCUACCAGAACACGUUCGACGGUGAGGGAUGAAAGCUGGGGGAGCAAACCGGAUUAGAAACCCCGGUAGUCC